AACCUGAUGAGUUAGGGUUCAUACCUGCGAUAUAUAACUUGUUAGGGUUCCAGCCUUAUGAGUCGGUCGAUUAGGGUUUAUCGUUCGAUCUUCGUGAUAGCGAGGAUCAAGGUUCACGAGCUCGGCGGGAAGUCCAAUACGGAACUCCAGAACCAAUUGUAGGACCUCAAGAAUGAGCUCUCACUCCACCGUGUCGCUUAGGUCACCGGCGGCGCUCCCAACAAGCUCUCGAAGACAUCCUCAUUCGUUGCCUGAUUUAUUUAUUUUAAAAAAUUACAUUUUUGCGUUGGUUGGUUGUGAUUACGCUCCGAAAGUUUGGAUAUGUGAUUGAGUUGGCAGAAAGGUGGUUAGGCUAUCGAUCGCUCGCGUGCUUACUGUCAUUUCCCAAAAGCAGAAAGCGGCGUUGAGGGAGGCUUACAAAAAUAAGAAGCUCCUCCCGUUGGAUCUCCGCCCCAAGAAGACACGAGCCAUCCGGCGCCGUCUCACCAAGCAUCAGAAGUCUUUGAAGACUGAACGUGAGAAGAAAAGGGUAAUGUACUUCCCAAAGAGAAAAUAUGUCCUUUUAGCAAAUUAAUAUUUUAUGCUCUUUUUUCUACCAUUGAAGAUACUGUUAUUUGAUUAUUUUUUUUUUAGUUGGUACCGAAUUAGCUCAUGGAAUUGACUAAUUCUGAAUUUGGUUACUUAACUUUGAAAAAUAGUGAUCAAGUCUCAGUACUCGAGUUAUGCAUCCAAUUAAAUUCCUGUUAUUUGGCA